AAUAAACCAAUCUUUCACUUUUUACUUAUAAUUUUUGACUCUUCGUCCUAUUUAAAUUUUUUAUGAUUAACAUUUUUGUUUUUAUUAGAUGAUAAAUCAUAAAUAGUACUUUGCAUAUGACUAUUUUUUAAAAACAAUUAAAAUUUUUUUCAAAUAAGACGGAUGAUCAAACACUGGGCAUGGGAACCAAAAGUUACCUUAUU
rnacentral:pre_miRNA from 1 species